GUAACGGCGAGUGAACAGGGAAGAGCCCAUCACCGAAUCCUUUCAGGUCUCUCUGACAAGGAAUUGUGGUGUAAAGGAUAGUCUAUGUGGUAGUGUUGUCGGCCCGAGUUCUCUUGAAUGGGGCUUACCCACAGCGGGUGUCAGGCCUCUAUUCGCCGAUUGAUGCUAUUGCUUUGAUUGUCUUGAGAGUCGGAUUGCUUGAGAUCGCAGUCCUAAGAUGGGUGGUAAACUCCAUCCAAGGCUAAAUACAGUCGCGAGACCGAUAGCGAACAAGUACCGUGAGGGAAAGUUGAAAAGAACUUUGAAGAGAGAGUUCAAUAGUACGUGAAACCGUAUAGGGGUAAACGGGUGGAAACGCUAAAUCGGCUUGAAGAAUUCAAAUCGGCAUUAGCGCGUUUAGUUAGUGCGUGUGAUACAUGGUUCUAAUGCCAGCUGUGCACGUAAUAACUUACAAUGUCGGUUGCACUUUUUUCAAGUCGAGCGCCUCGACCGAUUACCGAGUACAUAAGCUUCUGAAAGGCUUCAAUUAGGUACCGUGACACGUUUGCGGACUAAUAAAUUGUUGCUAAUAUGUACUUGUUGAUCGUGGACUGCAAGCAUAAAUAUCAGCGCUCGCGAGAUAAAUGUUUUUCUGUUUGCUUCGGUGAAAACAUCUGCUCCCUAGUGAGUGUGUUCUUGCCUGGCUUUCAUUGGGUGUUUAUUCUCAUUGAUAUUUGAGUCUGAGGCGAAUGGUCGUCAGUCUACCCGACCCGUCUUGAAACACGGACCAAGGAGUCCAACAUGUACGCAAGUCAUUGGGUUCUACGAAACCUAAAGGCGAAAUGAAAGUAAAAGUCACUGCUCGGUGACUGAGGUGUGAUCCGGACUUUGGUCUGGCGCAACACCGUCCGGUCACAAUUACUCUGUAAUGUGGCCGCGAAAGAGCGUACAUGUUGGGACCCGAAAGAUGGUGAACUAUGCCUGAGCAGGAUGAAGCCAGAGGAAACUCUGGUGGAGGUCCGUAGCGAUUCUGACGUGCAAAUCGAUCGUCAAACUUG
rnacentral:rRNA from 1 species